ACGAGUAUAGUUAAAUUGGUAUAACCUCUACCUUCCAAGUAGUUGUCAUCAGUUCAAAUCUGAUUUCUCGUA
rnacentral:tRNA from 1 species